rnacentral:rRNA from 1 species
UUGAAAGGGAAACGAUUGAAGUCAGUCAUGCCGGUGGGAAUCAACUUAGGGGAAACUCUAGGUGCACUUCUUCGCUUGGCAGGUCAACGUCGAUUUUGAAUGUCAUAAAAUAAUUGGGGGAAGGUAGCUCCUUCGGGAGUGUUAUAGCCCUUGAUAGAUGUGAUGUUUGGGGUCGAGGAUUGCAACGGAUACCCUCUGGGGCUAGCCGCCUGAUCUCUAAUCGGUGUUGGGUUACGGAUAGCAUGCUGACCGUGAUCUAAUUACUGGUUAAAAGGUUAGAGUAUGCAUAAAUUCGUUAAGGAUGUUGACGUA